rnacentral:rRNA from 1 species
GAUUCUGGGCGUAAGCGCACGCAGGCGGUCUGUCAAGUCGGAUGUGAAAUCCCCGGGCUCAACCUGGGAACUGCAUUCGAAACUGGCAGGCUAGAGUCUUGUAGAGGGGGGUAGAAUUCCAGGUGUAGCGGUGAAAUGCGUAGAGAUCUGGAGGAAUACCGGUGGCGAAGGCGGCCCCCUGGACAAAGACUGACGCUCAGGUGCGAAAGCGUGGGGAGCAAACAGGAUUAGAUACCCUGGUAGUCCACGCCGUAAACGAUGUCGACUUGGAGGUUGUGCCCUUGAGGCGUGGCUUCCGGAGCUAACGCGUUAAGUCGACCGCCUGGGGAGUACGGCCGCAAGGUUAAAACUCAAAUGAAUUGACGGGGGCCCGCACAAGCGGUGGAGCAUGUGGUUUAAUUCGAUGCAACGCGAAGAACCUUACCUACUCUUGACAUCCAGAGAACUUUCCAGAGAUGGAUUGGUGCCUUCGGGAACUCUGAGACAGGUGCUGCAUGGCUGUCGUCAGCUCGUGUUGUGAAAUGUUGGGUUAAGUCCCGCAACGAGCGCAACCCUUAUCCUUUGUUGCCAGCGGUUAGGCCGGGAACUCAAAGGAGACUGCCAGUGAUAAACUGGAGGAAGGUGGGGAUGACGUCAAGUCAUC